AAUAUAUUGUUGCAUGUACAUAUCUCUAGAGAUGGUUUGAAAACAUAGGUGGCUAAAUGGUUGCAACUGCGUCGUCUCUAAUCUUUGGAGAGAAGUCGUUGCUGAAUAUCUGAAGACAUUUCAUAACUGACAAUCUUGUAGAACAAAUAUUCAACUUUUAUAUUAUGGAUUAAUGGGCAAAUGAUUCAGUGGUGCUGAACAUAUUUUGUUAGUCAGAAUUAUUAUUGCACUCAUUAGAUAUGCUAGUAUAAUUCAAAAGAUCAGAAACUGAAUUGUAACGUACGUAUUAAUAUUGCUUGUGUUCUCUUUUUUAAAACUCUUUGAAAACAUUUGUGCCCCAUGAAGUAAUGCAGAGUUCGCCUUCAAACAUCAGUUUGUCUUGCAUUGGCAGGUUUGUUGUAGUAAAAGAUUUUGCUGCUUUGUGAUAUGCUUUCAGUUUUUGUAUCUCUGCUGUAUGGUGACUGUUUCCAUAUUCAUCAUUUACUUCCCCAUCACUGCUAAGAGGAGCACCUUUUCCCAGUAAGAAUUUGUUAAUGUAUUUUUAAGUAACAAUUUAAGUUUUUAUAUACAAUGGUGUAAGUUCAGGCGAAAAAAUAUUUGUUUUUAACACACAUUAAAUUUUACUAAUGUGACAAAAUCAGUUUGAUAUUGAUGAAAUCUAGAGAACAUAAAUAUAUUCAUUUCAAAAACUUACGUUCUGAAUUUUGGAUAGGAAGUGACAUACAUCUUUCGCUUUUGAACUUAUCACUGCUUUUUUAUCAAUUUAGGAACAUGGUUUCUCACUAUCGUGGAUGUUUAGGUUUGUCAUAUUGUUGUUAGCACUGGGUGAGGAAAUGGAUGGAAAGUUGAUAAGGAAGAUUUCCUGUAAAUAAAAAAGCAUGAUCUAUUUUCAGUGCGGGGGAAAUGAUUAUUCAGACAGUCAAAUGUUUUAUCAUCAAAGGUACUGUGAUUCAAAAUUGAGAGGAGCAAUGAGAAAUCCACAAACAUUAACUACAUUUAUGAAAGUAUGAUGACAAUUAUGAGAGCAAAGGUUUUUAGUGAGAAAUAAUUUAAAAGUGAGCCAUUUCUAUUGAAAACACUGAAGUGCCUUUCUGAAUAGACUAAUUGUCAAGACUACAUUUUCUGCUUUUUAGUUGUUGUAAGAGCAUUCAGAAUUUCACGUUAUUAAAAUCUGUUGGAAACACAUUUGUACUCAAUAGAUGUGUAUUAAUAAUUACUGUAGACUUUCUUCCAUUCAAUUUAGCUGUACUAUUACCCUUUGGAAGCUUUCUUCUGAAUUUUAUGAACUUAGUGUUUCAGUCUUCAGUCGCUGUUGAGUCAUGCUUUCCAUUUUAUUGCUCUGCUACUGUAACUCAUAUUUCCUUUAUUUUCAUCACUAUUAUACGUUCUUUCUUGCUUCAUGUUUAUACUUCCUAUACUGUUAUAUUCACAUGCUAACUUCGCCAUCCGUAUAACUUAGAUUUUUUGUUGUUUUGAAGGAAGUGUCAUCAUAUAGCUUCAACAACAUUGAAAGUCUCUUUUUGUACUUCAUUCACUAGUGGAUAUCCAAGUUUUAAAACCAAAAGAAACAAUGAUUCUGUUCAGGGAAGAGCUCACCCUUACUCCACUGUUCUUUCAAAUCUGUUGCUGUUCACUUUCUUCUCAUUAGUUGUGUUGCAGAAUAAAGCUGAUAAUCUCCAUGAAGCAAGAAAUUAUAUCAUAUGUUGCCUAUCCCUGUUCUAAAAUUUUUAAUCGUUUGACUAACUUCCUCACAAAGUAGUUUUGUUUGUGCGAUGUGAUAAAGCUGACUUCAUUUAUUUUGAACAAGCACAUCUGCUGUGGUAUAGUUUAUUAAUUGUUGGUAGAAAUGUCCAAGUGCGUUAAAAACAGGUGUAAAUUAAUGUUGUUUGAAACUUCAUCAUGAUUUACCAAGUGCAUAAGGGGACAACACACACACACACACACACACACACACACACCCUUGAAGACAGUUGCCAUUGAAUCAUGUUCAUCGUAUUGGAAAUAUUUGUAAAAAUUCCGGUGAAUAUACAGCAGUUAAUGACUUAAUUUUAAAAUAAAAGAGUUUUAAAGUAAGAAUAUAUAAAAGUUUAUCACAGUGAACUGUAAUAUUAUAUACUUGUGAACAUUUAGUUUUGUACAUAGUAUUGUCUCCUUCAGAAGGUGUUUAAUAUCUUUGUUAUUUAAUCAGUGUUAAUUAUUUCUGCAUAGCAGAGUUUUUCUAAAUAGAUAUUCUAUCACAUUACAGCUGGGAUUAAUGUAUGGAUUUUUUUCUUUUCCCUACUUUCUUUGUUUUUGUUUCCCAUGUUUUCAGUCUAAGGGAAGUUGUUUUAUUUUUCAGAGGGAAAGUUUCGGUUUUAUUUAGGUCCCUUGAGAACACUUAAUAUUUUUAUAGUGAUAUAGUGUUGAAGUUUUUAGGAACUCGGAACUCUUCUUUGUUAGAAAAAAUAUUUAUUGAAAUUAUCAUUAAGCUUCAAGCAUGCAGGAAUGGAAUGAUGUUUCAUUGGUGUUGGACUUCUGUUCUUGCUUUGUUUCAGUGUACUACUUGCAUAUUGUACACAUGGUAGAGCUUUAUUCAGAUUUCUUUGUGAUAAUAUUUCCUGAAGAUGAUUGGGCUGUCAUUGGACAAAUGAAUAUGUAUGUAUUCAUACAUGGCUGGCACAGAUUUUGUAGUUCAUGUUGAGUUUAGUGCAUAGCACCUCAACAAUUUAUAUGUUUUGAAUAAUGUUACCAUAGAAUUAUUGUAAAAGAUUUGAAACUACAAUUGACACAGAGAACCAUCACAUUUGUAUUUAUGUGUUUACUUUAUAGUUUAGUAGUUAGCAUGCCUCGUAAGUUUGCGUGAUGUAGCAGACAAUUUCUAUUACUAUGUUAUUGGAAUGAUCUAGGAACAGUGACCUGCAGUAUCCUGUCAACAUAUUUUGAGUGUGGAAGCUGACAGGGUGGCAUAGUGCCUAUGACUUCUAAAUAGCAAAAUCUGUCAUUGGUUGGAGUGACAGCAAUUGUUUUUGUUUCUUUAGUUCCCAUUCAGUACUCUACGCUAACACCAAAAAAAUUAAUUUGUAACUUCAUUCCAACACACUGUGGCCCACUGCAAUCACCAUUAUUAUUAGUUUUUAAUAUUUUGUACUGUAUCAGUUCAUUAGUUAUUUGGUUGUUUCACAUAGUUGCCCAAGAGUCAUAUGAAAGUCACAGUGAGGCUUUUGAAAGUUUAAAUUAAAAUUUUGAACAGUCUUAUUAUGCCCUAGUCAUAUUAGGUAAUAGAUGGAACAUUCCUUGACAGUGAUAAACUCAGUUCAUGUCUUUAAUCAUACCAAAGUGAAACUUUGUUGUAUGAUAUGGCAUGAACAGCAAUUAACCAGCUGUGCUUAAAGCAAAGUGUUAUAAGAUUUAAAAUCUUGGAUCUGUUAAAAGUAUAAAAAAAAUUAAACACACAUACUGUUGUGUGAUUUUAUUUCUAAUUGUGAUAGAGUAUGUAUAUUGUUAAAAAUCUGCAAGUUGUUUUUAGUGACUUCAUUAAGUUUUGGGACAAGUUUUAGUAGCAAGUAUUAUGUUACUGUGGCAUCAUUAGAUGAUUAUUUGUGAUGUUUCUGUUAGGUGAUGUGUAUCAUGUUCUAAAAGUGGUGCUUCCUUGCUUUACAGUAUUUGUUUCUUUUAUUGUUUUGGGUACUUUAAUCUAGGAAAUAUUUUGGUAAUUUUGGGAACCAUGUUGCUCUAGCCCCUGAACUGUUACAGUUUCAUCUGCUACAAGCUGUUGUCAGUUAUAUCAUUCAUUUUUCAUCAGUGCCAUCAGUGUUUUAGCAAAUUCUCUUUCAGUAUCAAAAUAUUACAAAAUUUUCUGGUUCUUGUAAUUUGUAUUUUUGAUCAGAAAAUGUUUUUCAUAACUUUUACAAAAUGUAAAUCAAGUCAGCUUUUCACAUACAUAUUUUCUGUGAAGUAACUGAGUUAGUUUCAUCACUGAUAAGUAGGUCAUAAAACAGGCCAGUUAUGUGAAGAUAUUUUCCGCUAUGAACUGCUGUUAUUUGGCACCUUUUUUUCUGUUUUGAAUGUAUAUUUUUGCUUAUACAGUUUGUUGUCUUUGUUUUCAUUUAGAAACAUAUAAUACUAUGUGCAAUCAUUUAUAUUUUAGUGCUCAUGAAUAGGUAAUAACUACUAACCAUAAGUUUUAAAGAGUUUGUAUAUUAUAUGUUGUAUAUAAAGUACAUUAUUAUUAUUAUUAUUAUUAUUAUUAUUAUUAUUGAAAGUGAAUAUUGUAAUACUGGUGAUCCGGAGUUUUCUUUUAUUAUAUGAGAAAAAAUUUAUUGUAGUUACUUUAAAAAUCUUUGCAGUUAUUUGAAAGAAAGAAAUUGUUUAUAAUUGAAAAUCUCUUUUGUAAUAAAUUUUCUGCAGAUUUUAUUGGAGGAGGACUAAUUUUGAUAUAAAAGUUUUUGUUGGGUGUGAUCGUAUAUGUGUGAUUUCAUAUGAUCACAUUUAGAAAUUGUCAUGAUGUGCCUGAAGAAAUCAGUAAUAAACCUGUCUGACAAAUUUUCUGAAAACAUUGUACAAGUAGCAUCAUCUGUUGCUGUAAAAAACAAACUCACUCUCUCUCUCUCUCUCUCUCUCUCUCUCUCUCUCCCUCUCUCCCCCCCCCCCCCUCCCCCCUCCCUCCAAAAAAAUAUAUAUUCCUUAGUGUCAGGGUUUUCUUUAAAUUACUUGCUAGUUCAGUUACAUCAUGAGAACCAUUGUUUGCACAAUUCAGAACACCUUGAACCAUUUGCUUCACUUUGUUCAUUACAAUUAUUACAUCAGUUCAUAAACUGUGUUGUAGGUCCAUAUCUGUGUAGUGUUCCUCCAGUUAAUUCACUUCUUCCACAUACCACUUCUCUCUGUGCUUCAUAGAACCCAAAUUUUUUUGAAAUGCAGAUAAUUUUUCAUAUUAUUUGAAUACUGCAAUGUAAUAUUUUGUCUUCCCUUCCUACUUUAUUUGUAUCUUGAGUACUUAUCGUUCUAUGAUAUCUUGAAUUAAUCUAGUGGAAUGUAAGAAGCUGUAACAACUUUUAAACGCAUUUUUAAUCAGUCUGUCAGGUAAUGUUAGUGCAAAAAGCCUUGUAAAUAAAACUUUUUUAAAAUGGUUUUUAGACCGUGUAACAUUUAUUGGUCCUAACCAGUAUAAAGUGCCUGAGAUCAUCUUCUGUGAUAGAAAGUGUAACUUUUGAGAGUCAUCCCUUUUUUAAGGUUCUUGACACCGAGAAAUAUUUUGGUAAUUACUGGAAGCAAACUCAAAACUGUUAUGUGUGUUUACACUUACUGUUCUUUCAUUGGUACAUGUUUCAGUAGCAACAAAUAAGUACCUGCACGUUAUGACAGAAUCUUGCUUUAUUGUACACCACAUAGAGAGGAAAGCAUUAAUUAGCUGUUCAGAAACGUACUGAAAGGAGCAACAUGUUUCUGUGCAUAUUGCUUUAAGCACUACACAAUCCACAUCUAGAUAUAAGCUUAGCAAGGAAAAAAAAAGUACAUGUCUUAAGUGGAGGGCAUUUGUGCCAGAAUUAAUCACUGCCUGUUCUAUUCACUUCUUUAUGAGGGAAAAAUGACUGCCUGUAUGCUUCCAUAUGCUACCUAAUCUGUUUACCUUACUCUCAAAAUUCCUCCAUGAAUUAUUUGAAGGCAGUAGAGUUGUUAAACAUACUAAUGCAAAUAUCAGUGUUGUAAAUUUAUCCAACAGUGUUGGGUUGGAACAGUAUUGCAUUUCUUAGUUCAUUUCAUGGAAAUGACAUUUAAAUGUCAAGUGACUUCCUUACAAAUUAAAGGAUGUGCACACAUGGAUGAGAGAUGCAUUAAAGUUUUACCCUUCUUAUUUACAGAAUCCUCAAUACUUUUUACAGUGCUGCUUGUGUUAUGACAUUUAUUUGCUAUUGAAACUUUUAUUUGAGUAGUGAUAAUCAUGAGAGAGAAGUCAUUCCAUGAAUAAUGAUCAAAGCUGCUUUAUAGAUUUAAAGAACUGAAUUACAGUCAGUUUGUGAUAUUACUUGCUGAAAGCUCCCCAAGCACAAUGUACUACAUUUCCUCUCUAGCUCUGGUGGUACAGGAUGAGUGAUGGCAUCAUGUUCUUGCAGUUUAUACCAGCAUUACAUGCAUUUCCACUACACUCUUGUAUCCUGCUUGUCUAUGCAGCAUUUUAUUUCACUGCACAGUGACUAAAAUGAUUUCUCAGGAGUGUCAGAGUCUUAAAACCAAACAAACUGGGAGUGACAGUGCUAGAGAUCAGUUAUCAAAACACAGUUAAACUUCAGUGCCUACAAAUAAAAAAAUAUGUUUAUACAGUUUUAACUGUUAUUGAAAUAUGGUAUUCAUUAAGAUUAAUUUUAGCAGAGUUGUGUUCUUGUUAUUACUGCUGUUGAGAAAAUUUAAUAAAACAUUUCAGAAUUUGUAAUAUUUUUGCUGCUUCAUAUAAAUGUUUAACAUAUUUGUUGUACUAUGUAAUUUUGUCUUUGUUACUCACUCAUAGUGCUUUAGAAGUACAGCAUGCAGUCCCAUUUUGAUUAGUGGAUGACAUUGUAUUUAUAUAUUUAGUGUAUAAGAAUCCACAGAAGCCAUCUGAUUUUGUAAAUGGCUCAGAAGUAAUGUGAAUCAUAUUACAAAACAGUCAGUGCAUAUUGUUAUUUACAACAAUUACAAUGGUUUUGUUAGAGUUUGCUUUAUAAUUAUAUUUGUAAUACCAGAAACACUGUAAUUUUUCAAAUUAAAAAUAUUGAAUAAAUCUACCUCCAAGGACAUAAUA